AAAGAUAAAGAUAUACAAUGCAAACAGCAAUAAAAAGAGAGCUGAAGUGGCUACACUAAUAUCAGACAAAAUUGGCACGGUGGCUCACACCUGUAAUCCCAGCACUUUGGGAGGCCGAGGCAGGCAGAUCACCUGAGGUCAGGAGCUCAAGACCAGCCUGGCCAACAUGGUGAAACCCCAUCUCUACUAAAAAUACAAAAAAAUUAGCCAGGCGUGGUGGUGGGUGCCUGUAGUCUCAGCAACUCGGGAGGCUGAGGCAGGAGAAUCGCUUGAACCUGGGAGGUGGAGGUUGUGGCGAGCCGAGAUCACGCCACUGCACUCCAGCCUGGGCAACAAGAGGGAAAUUGCAUCUCAAAAAAAAUAAAAUAAAAUAAAUCAAGUUUGAGACAAAAAUUGUUACCAAAGACAAACAAGGACACUUUAUAAUGAUAAAGGGUCAAUCCAUCCAGAAGAAAUCACUAUUAUAAAUAUAUUUCAACCUAGCAAUAAAGCCCCAAAAUACAUGAAGCAAACUGAGGUCUUUGAGAAUAGAGAAGGCAGCUUUGUCCUAAAUAUUUGACUGCCAUAACCUAUUAUAGUGGUUAAUAUCCAAUAACUAGGGACUCAUUCCUUGGAGUUAAAGGUUUGCCUCCCCUACAGUUCUUCGUUAAAGUAUAAAUAUGUCCCUGGAAGCCACCAAUUGUGUUGCAAUUCCAUUUAGCUGAAGUUGGUUUAAGCUCCGUUGGAGCAGUGACUGCUAGUGACAGAGACAAACGGUUGAGCCAUUUUUGAUAGAUUAUAUAGGUAUGGCCUGGCCUGGGCCCAGGAGGAAAGCAGGGAGAAGAAGCAUCUCAGAGUGGGUAGAAGUAUUAAGAAUAGAGAAAGAGUAUAGGAUGAGGAGCAGGGAGAAAGCUAAGGUAUCACAGGGGCACAAAAAAAGUAUCGCAGGGGAACAAAAAAAGUCCCACAGAGAGUGUGGGAAACAAAUGCUAGACAAGGAGCAAAGCAACUGGGGCACUGCGUUGUGAUGAGGUUCUUGGUUUGGCAACUCAGCACUGAGGGCAGCAUCAGCCCCUAGAAGAAGCAAAAGGUAUAAGAACAGGGAAGCAGGCAAGAGCCGGGGAUGGCAAUGAGCACAGGCCAUUCAUUGGUAAAUACCCAGGAGUUGUGACCAGGUCUGAGCUGCCGAGUGAUUCCUGGACUACCACAGAGAGGGAGGGAGAGAGGGCUGGGUGCUGAGAUCAGGCAACAGGCACUGGAAGGCAUAGGCACUGAUAGAAAAACCAGGAAACUAGGAAACUCAUAGGAACAAAGAACAGCAAGAGGCAAGCCAGAUAUGAGCUCAGAACUCAGGCAAACGGGCUGGGCAAACAGAUGCUCAAAUGAGGUUGUGUUUGUGAAAGUGCCCAGUUCUGGGCAGAUGCUUAGUAACUGUUAGCUGGUUCUAAAUAUAAAACUGAAGCAAGGCAAGUGGCCAUUACAACGAUGUGAAUGACACAGAGCCAGAAGUUUCCUCUGGCAGCCUCUGGGCCACAGUGACAGCCCAGGGUGGCUCUGAUCAACAUGGUGGCUUAAAAGGAAUGGGAGGAGGGGAGCUGAGAGCUGGGGACAAGGAACUUCUCAGAGUUCCUCUGGAGUCCCAAUCCUCCACUUUUUUUAAAGACAGAACCUCACUCUGUCCCUCAGGCUGGAGUGCAGUGGCACCAUCAUAGCUCACUUUAACCUCAAACUCCUGGGCUCAGGUGAUCCUCCUGGCUCAGCCUCCUGAGUAGCUAAAGCUACAGGCUCACGCCACCAUGCUCUGCUAAUUUUCUAUUUAUUUAUUUAUUUAUUUAUUUAUUUAUUUAUUUAUUUAUUUAUUUAUUGUAGUGGUCGGGUCUUGCUGUGUUACUCAGGCUGGUGUCAAACUUCUGGUCUCAAAUGAUCCUCUGACUCAGCUGGGAUUACAGGUGUGAGCCACCACACUCGGCCCCCUCCUCUUUUUAAAAGGGGGGUUGGGGAAGAGAGCAUCAGAGGCCUGAAGACCCUCCCUGCUCCUUUCUCUCUCCUUUGAAGAAUCGUGGUGAUUUAUCCCACAUGCCAGAAGGCCAGGCACUAGGUCACUAGGGCCACCCUUCCCUGCCUUAAACCUUGCAUGGCCUGUUUCUAAAUGGAAGAAUGCAGUGGAAAGCAGGGGCAAGGAAUUAGGAAUAAAGACACUUGUGGGGUUAGGGAACCCCAGGAAUGGUCUGUUUGCCCCAUAAAUCCCAAUAGCUAUAUCUGCUUUCUGUCAAAAGCAGAAGAGUGAGCUUACUUCCUCCAUGGCCACCAUGAUCUUCUAUCCUUCCUUUCCCUUCCCGCACAUGACACACACAACACACACGUGCAUGCGCGCACACACACACACACACACACACACACAUUGGAGGGCCACCUCUGGGUGACCCAUGCAUCCCCUCUCCCUGCCUCAUCCUAUUAGUGGGACCACCACCACUGCUCUUCCCUAGGGGAAGGGAGUUUCCUGUGAAUUCUCUUUAACCUUGGACUGGGGUCCAGGGCCAGCCUAUGAUGGAA
rnacentral:lncRNA from 1 species